rnacentral:lncRNA from 1 species
GACUGGACGUAGAUUCUGUUGAAUCGAACCAGUAUAAAAAUCCUUGUGUGCUUUUCUUAUGNCCUAUACUCAUUUUACUUUAACGCACAUCAACUGUUUGGUAAAUUUUCUAAAAGGACCAAAUUAUUUUUAAUUGUGAUCGAACACGCUUUCCGCUCUUUGAGUUUUAAAUCCGUUGCGCUAAACUCUUUUAAAAAUUAACCCCUACGAUACCAACAGUG